GCGGAUCAGGAGCUUGCUCCUGUGACGCGAGUGGCGGACGGGUGAGUAACACGUAGGCAACCUGCCCAUCAGACCGGGAUAACCACGGGAAACCGUGACUAAUACCGGAUAAUCCUUUCCCUCACAGGAGGGGGAGUUGAAAGGCGGUCUUUUGACUGCCACUGAUGGAUGGGCCUGCGGCGCAUUAGCUAGUUGGUGGGGUAAGGGCCCACCAAGGCGACGAUGCGUAGCCGACCUGAGAGGGUGAUCGGCCACACUGGGACUGAGACACGGCCCAGACUCCUACGGGAGGCAGCAGUAGGGAAUCUUCCGCAAUGGACGAAAGUCUGACGGAGCAACGCCGCGUGAGUGAAGAAGGGUUUCGGCUCGUAAAACUCUGUUGUCAGGGAAGAACGUCCCCGUGAGUAACUGCACGGGGAGUGACGGUACCUGACCAGAAAGCCACGGCUAACUACGUGCCAGCAGCCGCGGUAAUACGUAGGUGGCAAGCGUUAUCCGGAAUUAUUGGGCGUAAAGCGCGCGUAGGCGGUCUGUUAAGUCUGAUGUGAAAGCCCCCGGCUCAACCGGGGAGGGUCAUUGGAAACUGGCAGACUUGAGUGCAGAAGAGGAGAGUGGAAUUCCAUGUGUAGCGGUGAAAUGCGCAGAGAUAUGGAGGAACACCAGUGGCGAAGGCGGCUCUCUGGUCUGUAACUGACGCUGAGGUGCGAAAGCGUGGGGAUCAAACAGGAUUAGAUACCCUGGUAGUCCACGCCGUAAACGAUGAGUGCUAAGUGUUAGG
rnacentral:rRNA from 1 species